CCGGCAAGGUUAAAACUCAAAUGAAUUGACGGGGCCCGCACAAGCGGUGGAGCAUGUGGUUUAAUUCGAUGCAACGCGAAGAACCUUACCUGGUCUUGACAUAUCUAGAAUCCUGCAGAGAUGCGGGAGUGCCUUCGGGAAUUAGAAUACAGGUGCUGCAUGGCUGUCGUCAGCUCGUGUCGUGAGAUGUUGGGUUAAGUCCCGCAACGAGCGCAACCCUUGUCCUUAGUUACCAGCGGGUUAAGCCGGGAACUCUAAGGAUACUGCCAGUGACAAACUGGAGGAAGGCGGGGACGACGUCAAGUCAUCAUGGCCCUUACGACCAGGGCUACACACGUGCUACAAUGGUAGGUACAGAGGGCAGCUACACAGCGAUGUGAUGCGAAUCUCAAAAAGCCUAUCGUAGUCCAGAUUGGAGUCUGCAACUCGACUCCAUGAAGUAGGAAUCGCUAGUAAUCGCGGAUCAGAAUGCCGCGGUGAAUACGUUCCCGGGCCUUGUACAC
rnacentral:rRNA from 1 species